rnacentral:rRNA from 1 species
UACGUAGGUGGCAAGCGUUGUCCGGAUUUACUGGGCGUAAAGGGCGCGUAGGCGGCCACUGCAAGUCGGUUGUGAAAUCUCCGGGCUUAACCCGGAAAGGUCAAUCGAUACUGCAGGGCUAGAGUGCAGAAGGGGCAACUGGAAUUCUCGGUGUAGCGGUGAAAUGCGUAGAUAUCGAGAGGAACACCUGCGGCGAAGGCGGGUUGCUGGGCUGACACUGACGCUGAAGCGCGAAAGCUAGGGGAGCGAACGGG